GUCCCAUGGACAGAGGAGCCUGGUAGGCUGCAGUCCACGGGAUCGCGAAGAGUCGGACACGACUGAAGCGACUUAGCAGUAGCAGCAGCAGAUGGCUGAAAAUCAGAGCAUGUUGUGCUGGAGAUCACGGAGUUUGAACAAAAAUGAAUAAUGAACAUCUUUACGUGGAGUUCUCCCGAACCAAUUCCAAG